rnacentral:rRNA from 1 species
GCUUAUGGCCACACAGCCUGGUUCACUCCUGAUCUCGUUUGAUCUCGGAAGCUAAGAUAGGUUGGGCCUGGUUAGUACUUGGAUGGGAGACCGUCUGGGAAUACCAGGUGCUGUAUGCU